rnacentral:rRNA from 1 species
AAACUUUUCAGCUAGAGUAUGAUAGAGGAAAGCAGAAUUUCUAGUGUAGAGGUGAAAUUCGUAGAUAUUAGAAAGAAUACCAAUUGCGAAGGCAGCUUUCUGGAUCAUUACUGACACUGAGGAACGAAAGCAUGGGUAGCGAAGAGGAUUAGAUACCCUCGUAGUCCAUGCCGUAAACGAUGUGUGUUAGACGUUGGAAAUUUAUUUUCAGUGUCGCAGUGAAAGCGAUAAACACACCGCCUGGGGAGUACGACCGCAAGGUUAAAACUCAAAUGAAUUGACGGGGACCCGCACAAGUAGUGGAGCAUGUGGUUUAAUUCGAAGAUACGCGCAGAACCUUACCAACACUUGACAUGUUCGUCGCGACUCUAAGAGAUUAGAGUUUUCGGUUCGGCCGGACGAAACACAGGUGCUGCAUGGCUGUCGUCAGCUCGUGUCGUGAGAUGUUGGGUUAAGUCCCGCAACGAGCGCAACCCUCACUUUUAGUUGCCAUCAUUAAGUUGGGCACUCUGAAAGAACUGCCAGUGAUAAGCUGGAGGAAGGUGGGGAUGACGUCAAGUCCUCAUGGCCCUUACGUGUUGGGCUACACACGUGCUACAAUGGUAUCUACAACAGGAAGCAAGAUUGCGAGGUCAAGCAAAUCCUUAAAAGAUACCUCAGUUCGGAUUGCACUCUGCAACUCGAGUGCAUGAAGCUGGAAUUACUAGUAAUCGUGGAUCAGCGUGCCACGGUGAAUGCGUUCCCGGGUCUUGUACACACCGCCCGUCACACCAUGGGAGUUGGUUCUACCUUAAGGCAAGGUUUCAAACCCUCGACCACGGUAUAGUCAGCGACUGGGGUGAAGUCGUAACAAGGUAGCCGUA